rnacentral:lncRNA from 1 species
AGUUUUGGUUGAAAGAAGUGGCAAAGCCAAGAUCAGAUGGUACAGAGAUUUUUCUGACAUAUGAAUAGCAGAAUCCUAGGUGCAUUUUUUUUUUUAAUUAUUACACUAGUAGAUCUCAAGGUUAUUGGUAAAUUAGCAAGAUGAAUAUAAUAAUUCUUCUUCUUCUUCUUUUUUUUAUUCUAUUUUUAUUUAUUUUUGGGGGAUUUUUUCCCCCUUCUUGUUAUUGAUAAAGUACUUGUAGAUAGUAAAUUCUAUGAUCGAUUGAUACUAUUGAAAUAUGAAAGUCAUAUUUGAACUUUUUGCUUCGGAUAUUUUUGCAUUUUCAUGAU